UGAGGAAUAUUGCGCAAUGGACGAAAGUCUGACGCAGCAACGCCGCGUGUGGGAUGAAGGCCUUUUAGGUCGUAAACCACUGUAGCAGGGGAAAAACAUCCCAUUUUAUGGGCUUGAUGGUACCCUGAAAGUAAGCCUCGGCUAACUACGUGCCAGCAGCCGCGGUAAUACGUAGGAGGCGAGCGUUGUCCGGAUUUACUGGGUGUAAAGGGUCCGCAGGCGGGCAUCUAAGUCGGUGGUGAAAUCCUUCAGCUUAACUGAAGAACUGCCUCCGAUACUGGGUGUCUUGAAUAUAGGAGAGGGCAAUGGAAUUCCAGGUGUAGCGGUGAAAUGCUUAGAUAUCUGGAAGAACACCGGUUGCGAAGGCUGUUGCCUGGCCUAUUAUUGACGCUCAUGGACGAAAGCGUGGGGAUCAAACAGG
rnacentral:rRNA from 1 species